rnacentral:rRNA from 1 species
GAUGAACGCUGACAGAAUGCUUAACACAUGCAAGUCUUUGGCGAAGCUGUGCUUGCACCGCCUAGCCAAGGCGGACGGGUGAGUAACGCGUAAGGAACUUGCCCUGCAGUCAGGGAUAACAGACGGAAACGACUGAUAAGACCUGGUAAAGUCAGGCGGACUCAUGUCCAGCCUGAUGAAAAGAGAUGCUGCAGGAGAGCCUUGCGUCCUAUUAGCUUGUUGGUGGGGUAACGGCCCACCAAGGCGAUGAUAGGUAGCCGGCCUGAGAGGGUGGACGGCCACAAGGCGACUGAGAUACGGCCCUUACUCCUACGGGAGGCAGCAGUGGGGAAUAUUGGACAAUGGGGGCAACACUGAUCCAGCAAUUCUGUGUGCACGAUGAAGGUUUUCGGAUUGUAAAGUGCUUUCAGCAGGGAAGAAAAAAAUGACGGUACCUGCAGAAGAAGCGACGGCUAAAUACGUG